UGAUUAUCUAAGGAAGCCAUGCUCCCACCCCUGUUAUCAUAUGAUCACCCAAAUCCCUAGACUCUUGUGUUCCUGGUUGGCACAGACAGAGCAAAGUUAUUGCAGGCGAACCUCCUAAAUCCUGAAUACAGCAUUUUCCUACGUACUACCGUCACAGCUGCCGUAUUGUUAGCUGUCCUAUGGAGAUAUCUACCUAGUAAGAGACUGAAGGCAGCCUCAAGCCAUAACCAGAGAGGAAUCGAAUCCUGCCAACAGCCUUCUGAGUCAGCUUGGAAGUCAGCAAACCUCAUGUGUUAAGAUAACUACAGCCCCAAUUAUCAUCUUAAUUGCAGCCAUACAAGAGACUCUGAACUAGAGAACCUAACUUAUUCAUUAUUGGAUUUCUGGCCCACAGAAAUUGGGAGAUAAAUGUUAUUUUAAGCCACUAAAUUUGGAAACUUUGUUUAACAGCAAUAGAUACCUAAUACAAUCCUGC
rnacentral:lncRNA from 1 species